AUCGAAUGAAGGAGCUAAUGAAUUCAAUAAAAUCAGGGAAGGCUUCUUGGAGGAGGAGCACCUUGCUCCAGUGGGCUGAGAAGACAUUCCAUGAGACCAGAGCAAGGAGAGGAGUGGCCUGGCAGCUGAAGCCAGAGACAGACUUGAACCUGGAGAAUCUUCACAUCAAACCUAGGAGAAAGGUACUAUUAUCAUCUCUAAGUUACAAAAAUGGGAACUGAGCCACCAAAUGGCUAAGUGGUUUGCCUAAGAACACAGCGCUGGGCAGACAGAGGAACCAGGGGACUUAGGCCUUGCCAAGGAGGUGACAGUUGGACUGGCCUGGAGGGACUGGCCUGGAAAGAACAGCUACAGUAUGGCCACAGGGUUCCGGGAUGGCCAAGGAGGCCCAUCUCACCAGACCUGGCCCUGAGAAACUUCACCAGCAAGGCUUUCAAAUCGGGUGCGUGAUUGCUACGACGUGAGUUCCCUUCCAGUAGGGCCUGCAGCUGCUCUGUCCUCCUGGAUGGAGAAUCUGACUCCAACUCAGCUUCCCAAACCACACACAAUUCCAAGAUGAGACUGGUCUUCCUCUGGGGGACCAAGGAGAAAUGUGGUAAUUUAGACUCUCAAAGACUCUUCCUAAAAAGCUGGGCUGUUAAGGAAUCCACUCCAAGCGAUCACCAUCUGUGGCAGGCAGCUGGUGGAAUAGACAGAACUGUUUUGACAUCAGAUGAACUAGAAUUUGAAUACUGGUUUAGUCCUGUCUAGCUGUAGGGAUUUGAAGGGAAAUACAGUUUUUCUUUCGGAAAAC
rnacentral:lncRNA from 10 species